UACGAAGGGGGCCAGCGUUGCUCGGAAUCACUGGGCGUAAAGCGCACGUAGGCGGCUUUUUAAGUCAGAGGUGAAAUCCUGGAGCUCAACUCCAGAACUGCCUUUGAUACUGGAGAGCUUGAGUCCGGGAGAGGUGAGUGGAACUGCGAGUGUAGAGGUGAAAUUCGUAGAUAUUCGCAAGAACACCAGUGGCGAAGGCGGCUCACUGGCCCGGUACUGACGCUGAGGCGCGAAAGCGUGGGGAGCAAACAGG
rnacentral:rRNA from 1 species